rnacentral:rRNA from 1 species
AUUGAACGCUGGCGGAAUGCUUUACACAUGCAAGUCGAACGGCAGCACGGACUUCGGUCUGGUGGCGAGUGGCGAACGGGUGAGUAAUACAUCGGAACGUGCCCAGUCGUGGGGGAUAACGUAGCGAAAGCUACGCUAAUACCGCAUACGAUCUAAGGAUGAAAGCGGGGGAUCGCAAGACCUCGCGCGAUUGGAGCGGCCGAUGGGAGAGUAGGUAGUUGGUAGGGUAAAGGCCUACCAAGCCGACGAUCUGUAGCUGGUCUGAGAGGAUGAUCAGCCACACUGGGACUGAGACACGGCCCAGACUCCUACGGGAGGCAGCAGUGGGGAAUUUUGGACAAUGGGCGCAAGCCUGAUCCAGCCAUUCCGCGUGCAGAAUGAAGGCCUUCGGGUUGUAAACUGCUUUUGUACAGAACGAAAAGGCUCUGGUUAAUACCCGGGGCUCAUGACGGUACUGUAAGAAUAAGCACCGGCUAACUACGUGCCAGCCGCCGCAGUAA